rnacentral:tRNA from 1 species
GGAGAGAUGGCUCAGUGGUAAGAGCACUGACUGUUCUUCCAGAGGACCUGGGUUCAAUUCCCAGCACCC